UACGUAGGGGGCAAGCGUUGUCCGGAUUCAUUGGGCGUAGAGAGCGUGUAGGCGGCCAGGUAGGUCGGUUGUGAAAACUGGAGGCUCAACCUUCAGAGGUCGACCGAAACCAUCUGGCUAGAGUCCGGGAGAGGAGAGUGGAAUUCCUGGUGUAGCGGUGAAAUGCGCAGAUAUCAGGAGGAACACCGGUGGCGAAGGCGGCUUGCUGGGCCUUACCUGACGCUGAGGAGCGAAAGCGUGGGGAGCGAACAGG
rnacentral:rRNA from 1 species